rnacentral:rRNA from 1 species
UUGCAUAAACAAUUUUGUUAUUAGAGUAUUUUAUUCUAAUGUCUUUUAAAUAAGAAAAACACAAAUUGAGUAAUUUUUAUAAUUUUUAAAAAUUCGUUUACA